UUUUUUCUUCAAACACCAAAAAUUGGGCGUGAAUCUUACAACUAUUCAUUGUUAUUUUUCUUGGGUUGAAAUUAGAAAUGCUUGCUUGAGCCUGUGGUGUGCCUGAAUCUCCAAACAGAGAAACUGUUUUGGGCUAUGAUGUCUUUCUCCUUUGCUCUAUUAGAUGCUUCAAUUAGUUCCUCACACGUUUGUCUUUUCUCACAGGCAUGAAGCUGAAAUUCGAAGUUGUGCGUUGAUUUUAGGGAUUGUAUGUCCUUGAUAAGAAGGCUUUCUACUGGGAUUCUUCAAUUGAUAGUGCGGUGCGGAUCCAAUGGGAGCGUAGGACAUCAAAAAGAUAUAGUGAUUUUGUUAGCAAACUAAAAUCAAAUGGGGUGCAACCGGACACUAUUCCAAAUAAUAUGUGGAAAAAUUGGUUGAGACUUUGGAAAGAUCUUAAGUGUGUUUAAAGUCAGAAAUAAAUGCAAAAUAUUAUUGUGGUGGGAGCGGAGUUGCCACUGGGACUCAUACAGGUAGCUCUGUCAGUAUUGGGGAGCAUCGCAAGAGACUUGCUGUUAAAAAAGGUCGAGAUCCAACACCAAGUGAGUUGCAUUUGCACGUCCAUACACAUGGUAAUGAUGGAAAAACUUUUGUUGCUGAGAAAUCUCGAAUCGUAAAUGAGAUAUUACAACAACAAAUACAAACUCAAUCUGAUAUUGAUCAGUGUAAAGUAUAUUAUCAAGCCGCAUGAGGAGAAAAGAAAAGAAGAAUAUAUGGUCUUGGAUAUCAAGCAAAAUGCUACUAUGGGCGAAAUCUUCAUGGUUCUUUUGGAUCUGAUGCUACAUCGUCAGCAAAACCUCCAAAUUCUUAAUCAACACCGACAGGAAAUUUGGAUGAGUUAGUGAUGCGAUUGAUUCCUGCACUAACAGAUCAUAUAGUUCCUGUAAUCAUUGAGCGGGUACACAAAUUAGUUUCCUUACCCUUGCAGCAGCCAAAUACUGAUCUUACCAACCACCCAUUAGAUAUGGCACCUACAGUUCCUACAUCUUCUACUGCUUCUAACAUUGAUGAGGUUCAUGAAUUGAGUUCUGAUGAUGACCGUAAUUCUCCAGCCUCGCAUAGUUAGCCUACUUUUUUUGGACUUUAUUGUUGGUCCUUGUGAAUUUUUUGUACUUAAUAAUACUAUUAUAUGCAUUAUGCUAUAUUUUUUGGACCUUGUUGAAUA